UGCCUGAUGUGGCCGUGGUGGCAUAUCUGGU
rnacentral:piRNA from 1 species